rnacentral:rRNA from 1 species
GUGGAAGAGUGGCGAACGGGUGAGGAACACGUAAGAAUCUGCCCCUCGGUCGGGGACAACUUUUGGAAACAAAAGCUAAUACCCGAUACGCUGUGGAGUGAAAGAAUUUCGCCGAGGGAUGAUCUUGCGUCUGAUUAGCUAGUUGGUGCGGUAAUGGCGCACCAAGGCGACGAUCAGUAGCUGGUCUGAGAGGAUGAACAGCCACAUUGGAACUGAGACACGGUCCAAACUCC